rnacentral:lncRNA from 1 species
CGAUAAUCAAACUAAGAUUUGAGUUCUCGUUUGAUAUCAUAGUUUCUAGGUUCCCCAUCCCCUAAUUUGAAGUUUUCCCCCGUCUUCUGGGUCAGAAUUAGGUUGUCAAUGCACAAAAAUUGAAGCAAGCUGUUUGUGAGUUAUCGAUUGAUUAAGUGACUUCUGAGUUAUUUUUAUCGAAUUUACAUUUUUGUAGCUUUAAAUUACUUCAAUUCUAAUAUGUCCUGAUAAGAAGAAAUCCAAUCUAAAAUCAACAAGCAAUAACAAAACUCCCAUGUUUAUUAUACUUCAGUCCUUACAAGAAUAUAAAAUUUCUAUGUCCAAGUACAAUUUACUACUUAUAAGCAAAGGUCAAUUAAAGAGCUCUGGAUGUAAUUAUGCACAACGUAAGUGGCCUCUUGUACUGUAUAGGUAUUAAGUGCAUUACUAUUACAUUUCUUUGAGCGAGUAUAUCUGUCUGCAAAACAAGUUAAGGAAAGUUGAUUGGCAACUGUCCUUCAGUUUGGACUCUCUAUCCGGGUUCCAGUGGACUGUGAGCACUCAGAUAGAGUGUCCUAUAGCAGUAGUAGACUGUUUGGUUGGAAGGUUUGAUAUGGUAUCUGGUCUCUUGCUUCCAAUUCACCUACACAACCUGAUUGAAUCCUCAUGCCCCCAAAUUGCAUCUAUAAGCACCAUGACUGUGUUUCUUCAAAAGUUAUCAAAACCUCGAUCAAUUCUGUCCUGUUAACCUCAAUAAUGUGGCUGAUGAGAUAUUUUAAACCGCUAGGAUGUACAUGAUGUGAG